rnacentral:rRNA from 1 species
UACGUAGGUGGCAAGCGUUGUCCGGAUUUAUUGGGUUUAAAGGGUGCGUAGGCGGUCAAUUAAGUCAGUGGUGAAAUACGGCAGCUCAACUGUCGAGGUGCCAUUGAUACUGGUUGACUUGAGUACUGAUGAGGUAGGCGGAAUGGACGGUGUAGCGGUGAAAUGCUUAGAGAUCGUCCAGAACACCGAUAGCGAAGGCAGGCAGCUGGGCCAAUUCUGACGCUGGGGCACGAAAGCGUGGGGAGCAAACGGG